rnacentral:lncRNA from 1 species
GAGAGAGAGAGAGAGAGAGAGAGAGAGAGAGAGAGAGAGAGAGAGAGGAAACAAGCAGCUUCAUUAUACCGGUAAUCGUUUGUGCCGCAGAAGACUUAUACGAAGAAGCGUACAAAAUGGUUUGUUAAAUGAGCCACAAAUGAUCGUCUACCAAUAACGCUCCGGAUGGAAUAAAUUGGGAUUCGAGAAAUUUUGAAUAAUCCGACUCAUUGGAUAGAAUAAUUCGAAAAGUUGAAAGGACGGUGUUGAACUAUCAUAUUACAGAAACACAACUGUUACACUGGCAAAAGAAACUCGGUGUAUCUUAUAUCAAAAAUUUCAAAGGUUUCAUUGAUAUAACCGUUACCAAACUAAUUAAACAUUCCUCUUAUACGUGUUUGAACAAUUCGUAAUAUGAUCUAUUAAACGUAAACGUAGAACAUAAUGUAAAAUAAUGAAAGAGUAAGCGAAUGAGCAAAAGAAAAAGAGAAGAAGGGUGUUAUAACCGAGGCACGCUUCAAGGGUUCGAUCAAAGAAAAUAAGAAGAAGAAAAAGAGAAGAAGAGGAGAAGAAAAAAAAUCUACCCCCAAACGAUGAACGAGUUUCUCGUGUCAGAGCCAACUUUACACGUAACUUGGUCCACGUGUAUACACAUAUAUAUAUAUAUAUAUAUAUAUAUAUAUAUAUAUAUAUAUGUAUAUGUGUAUAUAUAUGUAUACACGUGAUUGAAGUUGUGUAUAAGAAGAGAGUGGAUGGAUGAACGGCAUACCCGAUGCUAAACAGGAAUCUUUUGCCACGCGCCGUAUGCUUGUUCAACCGUAGGAGAUCCCUUCUCCCAUAUGCUCCCUUCCUACGCCCUUCCUACGCCCAAUGGCACACGACAGACUGCAAAUGCAUCUCUCUUUCUUCGGCAUCUCUCACAGGCAUCUCUCUAUCGGACAUCGAUGCCCUUAUGAAAGCCGGUUCAAGCCGCGACCCGGUUCUAUUCCCUUUAUACAGAUCAACAACACCGUUCUAGAUUGGCAGCUGGUUCCGGUUGGUGGUCGAUACAAUUUUGGAAAAGUUAAUAUCUGUAGACUGUUGAACGCGUACUUUCGUACCCCGAUGUUCUUCCACGUGUUUUCUCGUCGGCAUCCUUCACUAGAAUGAGAUAAAUAAAGUAUGUACAGUUAUAAGAUAUUAUACGAAUUCGAUAAACAA